AGAUAGUUGUUGUUGUUGAAGAAGAAGAAUUUGAUAUUGUGGAGUUAUUGUCGUCGUAAAGACUUAAAGAAAGGAACUAUAUUAUAAAGUGUAAAGGACAAAGUCUGAAAAGCAAAGCUGUGUCAUUGUCAAUAGACAGAUAAGUUUAAACUAUCCUGACUCUUCGUUCUUUUAGUUUUCUUUUAUUAAUAAAUAAUUUAGAAAAUAAGACUCUUCUGUUUUUAAGUCUUUCUUGUUACGGUGAGCGUAACAUCGUGAGUAUUCAAUACUUCCUUUACUUGGGUUUGCUAUACAAAGGUUGAACCGGUACUCUGGGUUGUGACAUCUUUGGUUAUAGCAUUCUAGUUCCGUCUGACUGGCAUUUGCGGUGGUCAACAGGGUUUGUUACUCCAAUCAAACCUCAACCGAAUACAGUUCUAAAAGCAUACGGGUCUUGAUGUUUCCCGGGAAUAACGUUAUCUUUGAUAAGCCUACAUCUACUAACUGAUCUACCGCUAAUUUUCUGUGUUCUGAUAUCUUCUCACAGCGUGCAUU